UUUCCGUAGGUGAACCUGCGGAAGGAUCAUUACCGAGUACCGGGCCAUCGAGCCCGCACUCCAACCCUGUGCGCACGUAACCUUCGUUGCUUUGGCGGGUCCGGCCGAGACGGGCUGGCCCGCCACAGGAAGCCCAAACUCUUGCUAUUUCGGCUGCAGUCUGAGCGAAUAUCGAAUAUUCUAAAAACUUUCAACAACGGAUCUCUUGGUUCCGGCAUCGAUGAAGAACGCAGCGAAAUGCGAUAAGUAAUGUGAAUUGCAGAAUUCAGUGAAUCAUCGAAUCUUUGAACGCACAUUGCGCCCCUUGGUAUUCCGAGGGGCAUGCCUGUUCGAGCGUCAUUGCAAACCUCAAGCCUCGCUUGGUGUUGGGCCUCGUCCGCGACGGACGUGCCUCAAAGCCAUCGGCGGCGUCGUCUCGGCCUCAAGCGUAGUAGAAUCUUCUCGCUUUGGAGGACGAGGCGCCGUCUGCCGGGCGACGACCCCUCACAUCGCACAGUUUGACCUCGGAUCAGGUAGGGAUACCCGCUGAACUUAAGCAUAUCAAUAAGCGG
rnacentral:rRNA from 1 species